UCUACAUUAUUAUUUUUACUUCUUUUGCAGGGAAACAAAAGAAGACCGUUAAGCCUCAUUCUACACUUCAAUUGCAAAGGGUGUUGUCAAGAAUAUCAUCCUAGCCAUGCAAUUAUUUCUGCUGCUUGAGCAUUGGAAGCUUUGAAGCUCGUCUCUGGCUACAGCAGAAGUGUGUCAAAUUAUCUCAUGUGAGGCACUACGUGGCGCACAAUCAACGGUGGGCAACAGCAACCACCAGGUACGGCAAUCGAGAGCACGGUUCACCAGUCUAACAUAUUUUCAGCAGUGUAUAAUGCUUUUGAUGAAUUUUCUCUUGAUGUGAUUGCAUCUGCCAUUUAGUGUGUGAUUGAUGCGGGAACAUCUAUAUUCUUAGAAGCUGGAUGGGUUUGCAGAGUAUGGCUUAUUUACUAUUCAGUUACGUAUGCUGCUGGGAACCUGUUUUGUAUUGGGUUUCUGUGCUUAUUUAGUGAUUAUGUUACAUUUAUAAAGCUUUGUCACUGAACUGUCUUUGCUUGCCUUCCUGAAAGUUUGACAUUACUUUUGUUUACAGAAGAGUGAUCAUCCUACCUCCAGCUGGGCUAAGGUGUCCUUGCCGCCGACUUCGCCGUCUCGAACCCAUAUGCAUGUAUACCAAAUCCUUCCUGUAUCCUCUCUGAUUUUGUGUGCAAUCAUGGAUUUCGUUAUACUUGGUUGGUGUGUGGUAGAUAUGUGCCUACGCCAACACACAUCGGCUGCGAGUGCGGGCGUAUGUGCCUAGAAGGUUUCUUGAUUUGGGACGAAAGUGUAGUUCGUGUGGAAAAUGUGGAGGCAAAUCGGUCGAGCUGGGUUUAUACAGGGCUGGCGGUUUGGUCCAUUCACAGGGAUACAAGAAAUAUAUAUUGGCUAUAUUUAUGUAGAAUGUACAUACGCAGGUUUUCAUCAGCUAAAUGCCUAAUUUUCCAUACGAGGUUUCCAUUAGUUCGAAAACCUACAUUAUUUAACCAUACCCAUUUGUUCUCUGCUUCUCAGUGAUGAUCCUUGUGUAUUUUUAUAUUGAACUAAAUAACACUACUUCAUAUGUAAUUAUUGAGUUUGUUGAUAGCAGCCAGAAAAAAAUACA